rnacentral:rRNA from 1 species
UGCGAGUCGAACGUGAAAAGGGGCAACCCUGAGUAAAGUGGCGUACGGGUGAGUAACACGUAGGUAAUCUACCCCAGAAUCUGGAAUAACCUGCCGAAAGGCGGGCUAAUACUGGAUAGAGCGACGGAAUCCGUAAUUGGGUUUUUCGGGAAAGGGAGCUCGCAAGAGCCUUCGUUCUGGGAUGAGCCUGCGUCCCAUUAGCUAGUUGGUAGGGUAAUGGCCUACCAAGGCUUUGAUGGGUAGCUGGUCUGAGAGGAUGAUCAGCCACACUGGAACUGAAACACGGUCCAGACUCCUACGGGAGGCAGCAGUGGGGAAUCUUGCGCAAUGGACGAAAGUCUGACGCAGCAACGCCGCGUGAGUGAAGAAGGCCUUCGGGUUGUAAAGCUCUGUCGAGCGGGACGAAAAGUUUUAAGGUUAAUAGCCUUAAGAUGUGACGGUACCGCUAAAGGAAGCACCGGCUAACUCUGUGCCAGCAGCCGCGGUAAUACAGAGGGUGCUAGCGUUGCUCGGAAUUAUUGGGCGUAAAGGGCAGGUAGGUGGUCUCGUUUGUCUGAGGUGAAAGCCCCGAGCUUAACUUGGGAAGUGCCUCGGAAACGGCGAGACUAGAGUCUUGGAGAGGGUCGCGGAAUACCCGGUGUAGCGGUGAAAUGCGUAGAGAUCGGGUGGAAUACCAGAGGCGAAGGCGGCGACCUGGACAAGAGCUGACACUCAACUGCGAAAGCGUGGGGAGCAAA